rnacentral:tRNA from 1 species
CGGGGAUUGGCCUAAUGGCUAGGGCGCACGAUUCGGGUUCGUGAGGUUCCGGGUUCAAGUCCCGGAUCCCCGACCA